UACGUAGGGGGCUAGCGUUGUCCGGAUUUAUUGGGCGUAAAGAGCGUGUAGGCGGCCAGGUAGGUCUGCUGUGAAAACUCGAGGCUCAACCUCGAGACGUCGGCGGAAACCAUCUGGCUAGAGUCCGGAAGAGGAGAGUGGAAUUCCUGGUGUAGCGGUGAAAUGCGCAGAUAUCAGGAGGAACACCGAUGGCGAAGGCAGGUCUCUGGGCAUUAACUGACGCUGGGGAGCGAAAGCAUGGGGAGCGAACAGG
rnacentral:rRNA from 1 species